GUAGGCAUAGUUUAACAAAAACGUCAGAUUGUGAUUCUGAUGAUAGAGGCUAAUACCCUCUUGCCCACC
rnacentral:tRNA from 1 species